rnacentral:rRNA from 1 species
UACAGAGGGUGCGAGCGUUGUUCGGAAUCAUUGGGCGUAAAGCGCUUGUAGGCGGCUUGUUAAGUCGCGUGUGAAAUCCCUUGGCUCAACCAAGGAAGUGCGCGCGAAACUGGCGAGCUCGAGUGCCGGAGAGGGUCGCGGAAUUCCCGGUGUAGAGGUGAAAUUCGUAGAUAUCGGGAGGAACACCAGUGGCGAAGGCGGCGGCCUGGACGGACACUGACGCUGAGACGCGAAAGCGUGGGGAGCAAACAGG